rnacentral:rRNA from 1 species
UGGGAACGUACCUUUCGGUUCGGGACAACCCAGGGAAACUUGGGCUAAUACCGUAUGAUGACGUAAGUCCAAAGAUUUAUCGCCUAAGGAUGAGCCCGCGUAGGAUUAGCUUGUUGGUGAGGUAAAGGCUCACCAAGGCGACGAUCCUUAGCUGGUCUGAGAGGAUGAUCAGCCACACUGGGACUGAGACACGGCCCAGACUCCGUACGGGAGGCAG